rnacentral:rRNA from 1 species
AUCCCUAAAUCCAACAAUUUUGGCGGCCUUAACCUAUCAUAAAAGGAGUUCGUCUGGUAAUCGACAGCCCUCGAAAACCUCACUUUCUCUAAUUUUUUUAGUUUGUAUACCGCCGUCUAGAUGGUCUCUAUAAAUGCCUUCUAUAGCAGGAAUCAACCUGUUAAGACAGGCCAUGGCACAGCUUAUGGGUCAGUCAAUACGAUCUACAGUAAGAUAGAAUUAUAGGCUGCGUGUUGUAAGAUUUGUGUCUGAAAGAGGAUUUUAUAGUAACAGAGGCACUUUCUUCCCCUGUGGCUUACUCCACUCAGGUGCACAUAUCGCCCGUCGCUCGCGGGA